UCUGAGCAAAGGACUCGGGCUUUGUUCACUAAAGCUGCUGGCAAAAUUCUGUCCUUGUGACUGGAAGACCAGCAUCCCCAUGUGGUGGACAUAAAUUGCAGACAAUAUCUCAAGGUCACCAGCCUCACUGACUCAACCCCUCUUUCCUCCAUCUUCACAUAUAAGAUGGCCUCUCCUGCUUUGGAUUUCUCUUCCUUCUUCCACCUAAUCUCUUUCAUCCAGACAAGAAGAUUCUCCACUUUUAAUCACAAGAGGAGUUGGCUACACUCACAUAGAAGAUCAAGAAUAGUCGAUGCCCAUAACUUCAGUCACAUGGAUAUCAGCAUGAUGACAAGGAUUCCGGAAACAAAGUACAAUGCACAGACUCUCUAAAAAGUAAUAGUCUGGGAAGAAAACAGGAUAAGCUGACGUCCAAACAAAACCGGGUACAGCACCCCCACUGAAUGAAAGGUUGGAUGCAAAAGAUGUUUCUGUGAUUGAAGAGACCAAAGUCACAAACAAAAGAAUCAGUCAACAGGGAAA